rnacentral:rRNA from 1 species
ACGUAGGAUGCAAGCGUUGUCCGGAUUUACUGGGCGUAAAGGGCGCGUAGGCGGCCAGCACAUGUCAGUUGUGAAAUCUCCGGGCUUAACUCGGAAAGGUCAACUGAUACUGUGCGGCUAGAGUGCAGAAGGGGCAACUGGAAUUCUCGGUGUAGCGGUGAAAUGCGUAGAUAUCAAGAGGAACACCUGCGGCGAAGGCGGGUUGCUGGGCCGACACUGACGCUGAGGCGCGAAAGCCAGGGGAGCGAACGGGA